AUCCAGAUAACGAGUCCCAAAUAGGACGAAACGCGCAUCCUGGAU
rfam:Schistosoma mansoni strain Puerto Rico chromosome 3, complete genome